CUUGAGAACAGAUCGGUUGUCUCUUCCGAGUGAAGACGAGGCUUUCAGGGUUCCCGAGCCGCUUCUGUUUCCUCCCAGCUUCCUCUUCACCUUGUUGCGCUUCUGCUGCUGGUUGCAUGGAGUUUCCCCCAAGGCCUCCAAAGGUUUGCAUGAGGCCCACCCACGCUGGGAGGACUACCUUCUCCACUCAGUUUAUGGAUUCAGAUGCCAGCCUCUUCUGGAGACACCUUCACAGAAACACUGAGCACAACAUUUAACCAGAUACCGGGGCGACUUGUGACCCAGUCAAGUUGACAGAUCAGAUGAACCAUCGUAGCCAGUAUUCAGCAUAAUAGCCAAGAAUUUAGACCCUGGACUCAAACAGACACAGGUUUGACUUUUUCUGCUAUUUACAUGCUGUGUGGUCUCCUCUUAGCUCCCCUGACCUCUCUGUGCCAUAGUUUCCUCAUCUGUAAGAUGGAAAUGAAAGGAGACCUAGCUGUGAGGCUGACAGGUGAUUGUGAGCGAAAGCUACUUAAGACUGGAGUUUCAGAAUGCUUAACCUGGAUGGUAACUCAGAGUCAGUCUGCUCCUUUCUUAUGUAAAUAUUGCACGGAUCAACAAGACUGGAACUCAGAAAGUCUCAGCUUGCCUGCCUCCAGGGAGAGGGCAGGGGAGCGGCGUUCGCCCCUGGUGGCCAGAGCGAGCGGAGUUAGGAGAUUAUAGGUCUUGCCACGUGCAGCAGCCUUUGUGAGACAGAGCUGGGCCAGCCCGCUUGCUCGGCCUCCUUGAGUGCCCCUGGUCAUCAGGGCCUGCCACGCUGCCUGGGCCAUGUCUAUAGCAGGCUCUGAGGCCACUGGGUUAUUCUACUUGUGUAAACUGUUUUGUUUAUGCUGAUGAAGCUGUCUUCAGUUCAGUUCAGUUCAGUCGCUCAGUCGUGUCCGACUCUUUGCAACCCCAUGAAUCGCAGCACACCAGGCCUCCCUGUCCAUCACCAACUUCCAGAGUUCACUCAGACUCACGUCCACCGAGUCAGUGAUGCCAUCCAGCCAUCUCAUCCUCUGUCAUCCCCUUCUCCUCCUGCCCCCAAUCCCCCCCAGCAUCAGAGUCUUUUCCAAUGAGUCAACUCUUUGCAUGAGGUGGCCAAAGUACUGGAGUUUCAGCCUCAGCAUCAUUUCUUCCAAAGAAAUCCCAGGGCUGAUCCCUUAUGAUUAUACAGUGGAAGUCAGAAAUAGA
ensembl:lncRNA